AGCUCCAAUAGCGUAUAUUAAAGUUGUUGCAGUUAAAAAGCUCGUAGUUGGAUUUCUGGUGGGAGUGAUCGGUCCUUCACUUUGUGUUGGAACCUGAUUGUCUCCUGCCAUCCAUGGAGAGAACUUAUCUGGCAUUAAGUUGUCGGGUAGGCGAUCUCCAUCCUUUACUGUGAAAAAAUUAGAGUGUUCAAAGCAGGCUUAUGCCGUUGAAUACAUUAGCAUGGAAUAAUAGAAUAGGACUUCUGGUUCUAUUUUGUUGGUGUUUGGAGCCGAAGUAAUGAUUAAUAGGGAUAGUUGGGGGCACUCGUACUCCGUUGUCAGAGGUGAAAUUCUUGGAUUGACGGAAGACGAACAACUGCGAAAGCAUCUGCCAAGGAUGUUU
rnacentral:rRNA from 1 species